UACAGAGGUCUCAAGCGUUGUUCGGAUUCAUUGGGCGUAAAGGGUGCGUAGGUGGCGCGGUAAGUCGGGUGUGAAAUCUCGGAGCUUAACUCCGAAAUUGCAUUCGAUACUGCCGUGCUCGAGGACUGGAGAGGAGACUGGAAUUCAUGGUGUAGCAGUGAAAUGCGUAGAGAUCAUGAGGAAGACCAGUGGCGAAGGCGGGGUCUCUGGACAGUUCCUGACACUGAGGCACGAAGGCCAGGGGAGCAAACGGGG
rnacentral:rRNA from 1 species